rnacentral:rRNA from 1 species
GACGAACGCUGGCGGCGUGCCUAAUACAUGCAAGUCGAGCGAACUGAUUAGAAGCUUGCUUCUAUGACGUUAGCGGCGGACGGGUGAGUAACACGUGGGCAACCUGCCUGUAAGACUGGGAUAACUUCGGGAAACCGAAGCUAAUACCGGAUAGGAUCUUCUCCUUCAUGGGAGAUGAUUGAAAGAUGGUUUCGGCUAUCACUUACAGAUGGGCCCGCGGUGCAUUAGCUAGUUGGUGAGGUAACGGCUCACCAAGGCAACGAUGCAUAGCCGACCUGAGAGGGUGACCGGCCACACUGGGACUGAGACACGGCCCAGACUCCUACGGGAGGCAGCAGUAGGGAAUCUUCCGCAAUGGACGAAAGUCUGACGGAGCAACGCCGCGUGAGUGAUGAAGGCUUUCGGGUCGUAAAACUCUGUUGUUAGGGAAGAACAAGUACAAGAGUAACUGCUUGUACCUUGACGGUACCUAACCAGAAAGCCACGGCUAACUACGUGCCAGCCGCCGCGGUAAUAC